AUCCUCUGGUAGUUUAUGAACAUGAUGACUAGGUUUUUCAUGCACAUGUGAUGUGCCACACUGGAAGCUUGUCCUGUCUGAACAAUAGGCAUCUGACC
ensembl:snoRNA